rnacentral:rRNA from 1 species
CAGCAGUAGCCGCGGUAAUACGGAGGGUGCAAGCGUUAAUCGGAAUUACUGGGCGUAAAGCGCACGCAGGCGGUCUGACAAGUCAGAUGUGAAAUCCCCGGGCUUAACCUGGGAACUGCAUUUGAAACUGUCAGGCUGGAGUCUUGUAGAGGGGGGUAGAAUUCCAGGUGUAGCGGUGAAAUGCGUAGAGAUCUGGAGGAAUACCGGUGGCGAAGGCGGCCCCCUGGACAAAGACUGACGCUCAGGUGCGAAAGCGUGGGGAGCAAACAGGAUUAGAUACCCCUGUAGUUCCUGUCUCUUAUAA